rfam:Salmo salar isolate Sally breed double haploid chromosome ssa17, whole genome shotgun sequence.
UGUAUUCACUACUGUAAGUCGCUCUGGAUAAGAGCGUCUGCUAAAUGUAAAAUG